CUCGGAGGUAGCUAGGGUACCACCCUGUGUUGGCUGUACCUGCGAGUGAACACAGCUGGUGGUAUCUCAGCCACACUGAGACA
rnacentral:pre_miRNA from 1 species